CACUGAACUCAAAUCUCUUGGCGGGCCCCACUACAAUUUGCUCCCCCACCCUCUCUCCUCACAUUUUCCAUUACUUUCCCACAUUUUCUCUCCUACCGAACAGACUCUGAGAAAGUGAAGGAGAAAAGGGGUUUCGCUUUUCCCUCCUGUGAGCGGUGAAGGAUUCGAUCGCAAAAACCGGAGAUUAUAGCCGGUGGGAGAACUAUCUGAGACUCCAUCAUCAACUCUUAAUCGUCCAUGCUGACUACUUUAAGAGAAUCAGCUAACAACGCCGUUUUGGCUGGCGUUAUUGGUAUUCUAACAGGGUUUUAAGAUUGUAUUAGGCCUUGGUUGAAAUGGUUCUGCAUGCCAGAAAAAUGUUGGGUUAAGGAUAAUCUUGAUGAAGUCAUUGGACUUGUGUACAGGUUUGCGCUGAACAGAGGGGAAAUGCUACCUUGUUGGAGGAAGCCCCAUAUUAAUUUGGUACUUACCUCCUCUCUGUAUAUUUUAUUCACGUUCUCUGGAACAUCUAGGAACAAGGAGGGUGUUGAUGAUCUGCUGUAAGAAGAAACCAUGGAGCAUGAGAAAAAAUUUCCUUUGGAUGCAAAAGACUACAAAUUAUACGAGGAAGUUGGUGAAGGUGUUAGUGCCACCGUGUACAGGGCUCUCUGCAUUCCACUUAAUGAGAUUGUUGCUAUCAAGGUUCUUGAUCUGGAAAAAUGUAACAAUGACCUGGAUGGUAUUCGUCGAGAGGUGCAGACAAUGAGCUUGAUUGAUCAUCCAAAUUUAUUACAGGCACAUUGCUCUUUCACUUCUGGUCACACCCUCUGGGUUGUGAUGCCAUAUAUGGCUGGGGGAUCUUGCCUUCAUAUAAUGAAAUCUGAGUAUCCAGAAGGUUUUGAUGAACCUGUUAUUGCCACCUUAUUACGAGAAGUACUUAAAGCCCUUGUUUAUCUUCAUAACCAUGGGCAUAUCCACAGAGAUGUGAAGGCUGGGAAUAUUUUGAUUGAUUCUGAUGGUGCAGUCAAGUUAGCAGACUUUGGAGUGUCAGCAUGCAUGUUUGAUGCUGGAGAUAGGCAACGUUCAAGAAAUACUUUUGUUGGAACUCCAUGCUGGAUGGCUCCUGAAGUUAUGCAGCAGUUGCAUGGAUAUGAUUUUAAAGCAGACAUCUGGUCAUUUGGAAUAACAGCACUUGAACUUGCUCAUGGCCAUGCUCCAUUUUCUAAGUAUCCACCAAUGAAGGUUUUGCUGAUGACCUUACAAAAUGCACCUCCAGGUCUUGACUAUGAAAGAGACAAAAAAUUUUCAAAGUCAUUCAAAGAGAUGGUAGCCACCUGCUUAGUGAAGGAUCCAAAGAAACGUCCGACUUCAGAGAAGCUUUUUAAGCACAGUUUCUUUAAACAUGCACGUUCAAAUGAAUAUUUAGCUCGUACCAUUCUUGAGGGCCUUACUCCACUAGGUGAUCGUUUUAGGACACUGAAGGCAAAAGAAGCUGAUCUUCUUGUACAGAACAAGGCUUUGUAUGGGGACAAAGAGCAAUUAUCACAGCAAGAGUACAUACGAGGAAUCAGUGCCUGGAAUUUUAAUCUGGAGGAUUUGAAAAAUCAGGCUGCCCUUAUUCAGGAUUAUGAUGUCAUUUCAAAUGUAGAAGAUCCAGAUUGUUCAAAUGCUGCACCGAGUCACGAGGUAUCCCUACCCAUGCUAAAGUUAUCUCCACAUGGUUCAUCCACUGCAGUAUUGUGGGUCUUCCUGGGUCUCUUUUUGAACUUGUGUCAGAUGUUUAAAUCCACCUUUUGUUUGUUUCAGGAUGGGCUCAAUGAUCUAUCUAAUUUGGAGAAUUCGCUCGCUUCAUUUCCCAUUCAACCUCUUCAAGCACUUAAAGGUUAUUUUGAUGUUUGUGAGGAUGAUGGGAAUGCUAGUAGUUUGAGUUGGAGAGAUGUAAUUCAGUCAGAAUCUGAACAACAAUCAGUGGAUCAAGAAGCUGAAAAGGAUGAUGGUGAGAAUUUUGGGCGGAGUAGCUCUUUACCACGCCAAAUCAUUCCUGGGCAUAAAAAAUUUUUUAGCGGUUCACUGCUACAGGAUAAUGCUCUCUCUCCUAAAAAGGUUAAUGGUGAUGGGGACAGGGAAUAUAUACAAUCAAGAUAUCAACCCGAGCGGAACUAUAGUGGUCCAUUAUUACAUCGUCAAAAAAGAGAUACAAGUAACAUUUCAUCUGUGGAGGAUACACCAGAGGGAGCAGUUGUGCAACGCAAGGGCCGUUUUAAAGUCACUGCAGCAGAGCUCAGUCCCAAGGGUCCUACAAAUUGCUUCUUCAGCCAAGUUUCUGGAGGUUCAACAAGUCCAACAACACCAAGCCUUACAGCUGGCUCAAUUCUUCCAUCACUGCAAUUUGUUUUGCAGCAGAACACCAUGCAAAGGGAAGAAAUAAUGAAAUUGAUCAAAUAUGUGGAGCAGUCCUGUGGCAAUCACAUAGAAGAGGCAGGCUCUAUCGACCUUUCACAGAUACAUGCUGUUUCUACUAGGGAGAAAGAGCUUCAGUCUCAGGUGAUUCAUCUGCAACAAAGCAUUGGGACUCUAGUUGAAGAAUUGCAAAGACAGAAGUUGAAAAAUGCUCAGGUAGAAAGACAAUUGAAUGCAGUAGCUAACAAGGUGGGAAAGGUAAGGAGAGGAAAUGGAGCAUGAUAAUGACGGGAAUGGUGAAGCUGAAAUGUCAUCUUCCUGAUUGUUUCUUGAUUGACAAGGAGUUGGAUGUUGAUAUUCAAAGUACUUGUUCAAGGAUUGAUCCUUGCCAGCUAAAUGCUACAACGUUGAGUUUCCAAGAUUGAAAACAGGGCCCGAGCAUCAAACCGAAGACUGCUGAAGAGUCUACCAUACACGAUUCUCAAUCACAGCAGACAUGAUUCCUCGCAAUGUCUCCUGCCAGACGCGAAGGUUAUCUCAUUAGUUUUUUACCAUAUUAUUGCUCAAGAAGAAAAUGCAUAAAUCUUUUGAUUACUACCAUUGAAUGGUCUUUGAGACCCAGAGAGAGCACCAACGACCUUGAUGAGCCUGAACUACUGCAAGCACAAUAGGACAUGUUCUAAGUGUGCUACUAUUUAAAGGCAAGUACACAGGAUGGAUAGCGUUAGGAUUAUUGUAUCUGUUUCUUGUGGGCGUGGAUGGAUGCUGAAUUAAAAGCCGAGGGAGAUUGCUAACACACUCCAUCUUUACAAAAACAUUCAGUAGUCUAGAAUAGAUAAAAAGGCGUUGAUUCCUAAGAAUGGAGCUAUAGCAAUGUAUCACAUUGGAAUGGAAAUAUACCUUAUGUGUUCGAUCAGUUGACGAGCACUUGCCAC